GGGCAAUUAGGGAUGGGCAAUAAAUGGCAGGCAUACAAUGUUGUCAAGGAUAAAGGCAAAUCAUCUUACUGAUAAACGGAAGCUGACUUCCAUGAUAAGACUUCACAACACCUAGAAGAGUGGAAGUGAUGGUCUGCUAACAGGACUGUGCCAGUUUAUGAUAAAGAUUCUGACAAAUCUGCUGAGUAUUUCUCAUCCACUGUAUUUUGUUUUUGUAUGCAUAUUAGAUCCUGUUUGGUGUCAAGGCCAGAAGAUGUCACUAAUAUAAAAAAAAGCCAUAUGCAGUCUCCUCCCUAAAUCUCUGUGUUUCCCUCCUCCUUUAAACCUAACUUUUAGACAAAGCUUUUGUGUCCUACAUUAACUGAGUGUCAAUUUUGUCUGAUUAUGCUGUUACGAAGUGUUUUCUGAUCUCUUACUAUGUUAAACGUGUUAUAUACAUGCAAGCUGUUCUUAUUGGUUAUAGAGAAAAAUAAAACUCCUGCGAUAGGGUUAGCCAACCCUACCCCAACUCCUUCACUAUUUCGUGACAUUUCUAGUAACUGUCAUUUAAACAGUUCCCCUAUACACUAAUGAGAAGUAAUCCAAGUAUGAUAAACAAUAGCUGAGAUUAUUAAAUGAAUGAAAUCAGGUUUUGCCAAGAAAUAUUCUCAGUUACAUGUUAAAGCUCUUUUCCCACUGUAUCAUUGUGAACACAUCAAAGCAAUUCCUCUAAUAGAGUAGAUUGCUAAAGCAACGAGCAACAAAGCAGGAAGUCCCAGGUACAAUUCCAAGUUUAUGAGGCUUUUGCUGAUCUAACCUAGGAUGUGCUUUCAUUAGGAAAGAUUAGCCAGAGUUCUUUCUUCUGAUUUAUAUCCUCUUAGCCAGGGCUAAUUCCACAUUGCAGUUGUUUAAUCCAAUUUCUCUGUUCUUGCAACCUCUCAUAACAAAACUAAAUGUUCCAGUAUGUGAAACCCUACUUACUCUGCAGUGUAUUUUCAUAGAAUGGUUAAAAGGGGAAUGCUUAAAGAAAACUGCUUGGAUUCACUUGGACUACUAAACAGGAAAAUUCCAAUCUGGCUUAAAUCAAAUAGAACUGUCUCAUAUUGUCCAAAUAUUGACUGCUGAGGUAGCACUAGUGAAAGAUUGCUCAGAAAGCUGGUGGAACAAUCGAUAGUUGUUUACAAUCCCCAGGGUUUGAAUAGUCAUUUAAUGCCAAGAAUUAAAGAGUUGACAUGUAGAGCAACUAUUUGGACAUAUUGCUUAUAAUCUCUGGUCUAAAAUAAAAACAAAAAACUUUAAUUUUAGUCUGUUCUGCUGGCACAAUAUUUUAAUAUCCAGUAUAAAAUAAUGCAAUCAGCCGGGCCAUGGGGAUGAACAUUGUUAACAAUGAUCUAUUCUAUUUCUAAGAAUUCAAACAUGAAUUCAUUCAAAUCCAUGGUCCAUAAAACAUCAAGUGGGAAAAAAAACCAAAAAGAAAUGCUGCAGAUUCAGGGCGGCCAUAGCAUGAAAGAUGAAUGUUUUGUGUGGAAUUCCUCAUCAUAACCACACAGUCAGGGUGAAGGAGUUCCUUUAUCGUAUUAACAAUGAAAACUCAGGGAAAGACAACAAACAAACAGGCAGUGUGUUCAAAGUAUCAAAAUACCAUAACAUUUUCUACAUUUACAGAUAGGUUAAAAAAAGCUGCAUUUCUGUAGUGUCUUUCAUAAUCUCAGGAUAUCCCAAAGCGCUUUACGGCUAAUGAACUACUUUUGAAAUCUACUCAUUGUUGUAAUGUAGGAGAAAAUGUAAUAACCACAUUGUACCAAGCAAAGUCCCACAAACAGUAAUGUCAUAAUGACCAGAAAACCUGUUUUUGAAUUGGUUGUGAGAUAAAUAGAUGCAAGCUUGCAUCACACUACAUAGUCAUAAAAGGAACAGCUGAGGUUUCUCUGUAAACUCACCCUAUCAGGCACAAAGCAAUAUUUCACCAUAUCUUUGGAGACCUGAACUGCAUUUGCCAUACUUUUGUCAUGAGGUCAAAUUUUAUUUAUUUAAUGCUGGCAACAGCAACAGUAUUUUGCAGUUGGUCUAAACAAUGUCAAAAACAGAUGAGAAAUAUGUUAUCCUUACAAAGGGAGAAUCCAUCUAAUGCACAAAGCAACAUCUGCCAUCAAAAGAAUGAGCAGAAUAACAUUUUAUCUUUUGCAGCAAGUUCAUGCUUCUAUCUCCAAAACCCUAGAAAUCUCUUAUGAAGAAUAAGUCAAAGACAAAUUAGCUUUAAGCUUCGGAAAAAACAAUUGAUAAUUGAUCUCUGUGUCAACUUAUCUAGAAGUAGAAUUAGUCAAUAAUUAGUCAGAAUUCUAUGUAUCAAUACCAGCACACCCAAUUCUUUUUUUUCUAGAUUCUAGAUAUUAGCCAAUCUAUGCUGUUCUUGCUUGGUUACUGAUUCACUGGCCAAAAAAACUGAUCAAUGUAUUAGAAACAAAGACAGAAGUUGCUGGAAAAGCUCACCAGGUCUGGCAGA